rnacentral:rRNA from 1 species
UACGGGGGGGGCAAGCGUUGUUCGGAAUUACUGGGCGUAAAGGGCUCGUAGGCGGCCAACUAAGUCGGACGUGAAAUCCCUCGGCUCAACCGGGGAACUGCGUCCGAUACUGGAUGGCUUGAAUCCGGGAGAGGGAUGCGGAACUCCAGGUGUAGCGGUGAAAUGCGUAGAUAUCUGGAGGAACACCGGUGGCGAAGGCGGCAUCCUGGACCGGCAUUGACGCUGAGGAGCGAAAGCCAGGGGAGCAAACGGG